rnacentral:rRNA from 1 species
GGUUAAGUUAGAAAGGGCGCACGGUGGAUGCCUUGGCACUAGGAGCCGAUGAAGGACGGGACGAACACCGAUAUGCUUCGGGGAGCUGUAAGCAAGCUUUGAUCCGGAGAUUUCCGAAUGGGGAAACCCACCACUCGUAAUGGAGUGGUAUCCAUAUCUGAAUUCAUAGGAUAUGAGAAGGCAGACCCGGGGAACUGAAACAUCUAAGUACCCGGAGGAAGAGAAAGCAAAUGCGAUUCCCUGAGUAGCGGCGAGCGAAACGGGAUUAGCCCAAACCAAGAGGCUUGCCUCUUGGGGUUGUAGGACACUCUGUACGGAGUUACAAAAGAACGAGGUAGAUGAAGAGGUCUGGAAAGGCCCGCCAUAGGAGGUAACAGCCCUGUAAUCAAAACUUCGUUCUCUCCUGAGUGGAUCCUGAGUACGGCGGAACACGUGAAAUUCCGUCGGAAUCCGGGAGGACCAUCUCCCAAGGCUAAAUACUCCC